GACCACGACACCGCACAGAAACAAUCGUUUUAAUUUCAGUAUUGCUUUCCAUCAGUGGAUGUUCAUGCAGUCCAGAGCAGCACCAAGUAGUUUGAUAGAAGAGCAAAAGAUUUAUUUAUUAGAUAUUGUUACGUUGCUUUCCAUCAGUGGAAGUUCACGCAGAGCAGCACCAAGCAGUUU